CUGUCCUCUGGUAGGGGGCCAUAGCUCAGUUGGGAGAGCAUCUGCCUUGCAAGCAGAGGGUCGGCGGUUCG
rnacentral:tRNA from 1 species